GAUGAACGCUGGCGGCGUGCCUAACACAUGCAAGUCGAACGCUGACGGAGGAGCUUGCUCCUCUGGCUGAGUUGCGAACGGGGGAGUAACGCGUAGGCAACCUGCUCGAUAGUUGCGGAUAACUAUACGAAACGAUACCUAAUAUCGUACCACAUCAGAUAUUCCAUGAUAACCAUGUAAACUGCGCACCUGCUCCACUACCAUAAGGACAUGCGUUGUAUUAGCUAGUUGGUGGGGUAAAGGCUCACCAAGGCGACGAUACAUAGCUGACCUGAGAGGGUGAUCGGCCACACUGGAACUGAGACACGGUCCAGACUCCUACGGGAGGCAGCAGUAGGGAAUCUUCGGCAAUGGGCGGAAGUCUGACCGAGCAACGCCGCGUGAGUGAAGAAGGCUUUCGGGUCGUAAAGCUCUGUUGUAGGGGAAGAAAGGGUGUGGGUUUAGAAAGUGCUGUCUUGGAGGUUAUCUAAGAAGAAGCACCGGGCAAACUAGUG
rnacentral:rRNA from 1 species